ensembl:ncRNA W02A2.10 ncRNA
CAAUCGGCAAACUCGUCGCGCUUUUAUACGAUUUGGCUCUGGAGCACACCUGGGGAGGGCUCCCGCGCCCUCUCCGAAGUAGGCGGUUCUCUCAGCCCGCCCUAAUCCGGAACUCAUCAGUGGAAUGGCAUGCG